UAAAACCAAUAUUUUCAUGGAUAAAGAAGCCUAACAAGGUAACCAAGAGAUGAGAUACAAAUUGGAUGAUAGUAAAUUGUUUUUAGUGUAUUUUACAGCUGAUUUAAGACACAGGUCGAAACCAACCCGUUAACACAAGAGAUGUUAACAGACAGCUAACACAAGAGGAAGGAGGAGGAAACCUUUAGACUGUCAGAGAGCAGUGCUCUGUCCUGGGACACUAUAAACCUUAGAACUGUAAAUAUUUCACUGUGCCGUCUGUUUCACUGACGAGGUCUGUGUGAUGUUGCUCUUGUUGCACUGGGUUUUGGUUGAGCGGGGUUAAAUGUGCUUAUUAUAUUGUAUGUCUCCAGAAAAUGGAAUAAAGUUAUUCAAUAUAUAUGCAAUAAAUACUAAUGAUACA